CCUACGGGACGCAGCAGUGGGGAAUAUUGCACAAUGGGCGAAAGCCUGAUGCAGCAACGCCGCGUGAAGGAAGACGGUUUUCGGAUUGUAAACUUCUGUUCUUAGUGAAGAAUAAUGACGGUAACUAAGGAGCAAGCCACGGCUAACUACGUGCCAGCAGCCGCGGUAAUACGUAGGUGGCAAGCGUUGUCCGGAAUUACUGGGUGUAAAGGGAGCGUAGGCGGGAAGCCAAGUCAGCUGUGAAAACUAUGGGCUUAACCCAUAGCCUGCUUUUGAAACUGUUUUUCUUGAGUGAAGUAGAGGCA
rnacentral:rRNA from 1 species